UGGUACAGACUUUGGGGGGUCCUGGAGGCAACUGAGAGGGAGUUUUUGGGUCUUGGGGGUACCUGGGAGGGAGUUGAGGGGAGCCAGGAGGGGGACUAGGGGUGUGAUUUGAGCAAAUGGGGAGGAUGAGAGAGGGGUUUGGGGGCUCCUGGGCAGUCCGAGAAGGGACUGGGAAAGGGUUUGGGGACUCCUCAGGGGACCGGGGACAACAGGGAGUGUGGUUGGAUGGUGCUGGAGGGGCUAGGAGGGGGUUUGGAGAUUCCUAGGGGAGCUGGGUAGGGACUUGAAAGAGGUUUCAGGAGUCCUGGGUGGGCUGGGGGCGACUAGGAUGAAAUUUAGGAGGUCGUGGGGGGGUCUGUGAGAUGUUCUGGGGGCUCCUGACACCCCCGGGCCCCCAGAGAUGCUGCUGGACACCACCCACAGCAAGAUGCUGACGGGGGUCCGGGGCUUCAUGUUGGGCUUCGUCUUCCUGGCACUGAAGCUCGGCUUCUACCUGCACCAGAAGGUGAGGAGGGUCCCCAGGGGUCAUGUCCUCCUCUCCCUGGAGUGUGUGUGCCCCCCCAGGGGACCCCCCAACCUUGGUGUCACCCCUUUUUCUCUCUGCCCAGAGGUCCUGAGCCAGCGGUGGCCACAGUCCCUCCCCAUGGCCUCAGGCCCAGACUGGACACCCCCUGUCCCCCUGAUGAUUUUGGGGGGCAUCAUGUGUCUCCCCCUUCCCCGUUGUCUCUCUGCCCCUGCUCAGCUGCUCCCAGUGGCUCCAGUAAAACUUCCAAGUUCUUCCCAGGGGGGGCCUUGGGGCAAACAAAUAAUGCCAAUAUCACCAUGGGAGUCUCCUCUAGACCUCCCAGCCAGAACAAUGACACCGAUGGAUUAUUCUUUGAGGAGCUAAAGACACUUCCAAGUCAAUUGCCCUUGUCCUUAUGGGGGACUUCAACUUGCCAGAAAUUAAUUGGGAGCAUCACACAAAUGAUACAACCCAGGCCAGAAGAUUCCUUAAAAAACCUGGAUGACAACUUUAUGGAACAGGUCCUAGAGGAGCUGACUUAGAAAGAUGCCCUCCUUGAUCUGCUGCUUGUCCACAGAGAGGAUCUUGUGAGCAAAGUGGAGAUUGGGGGCAUCUUGGCCACAGUGACCUCAAAGUGAUCAAGUUAAAAAUCUCUGUUAACAGGAGAAAAACUGCCAGCCAAACCUCAGCUCUGGCCAUGAGGAGAGCAGACUUCAGGCUGCUCAGGGAAUUAGGAAGGAAGGUCCCCUGGGAAAAUGGUUUUGCAGGUGCUGGGGGCCAUCACUGCUGGUCACUUCUCAAACAUCACCUCCUAAGGGCACAGGAGCAGCAAUUCCCAAAUGUUGGAAGUCAAGCAGGAAGUAUUUUUCAAAGAAAUCCAGGCUGCAUGCAAGAUACAGAGGAAGCUGUCAAGCCUUUGACCCACUUCUAGAAAGUUGUGAAAGCUUCCAAGCCAGGGCAGCACCUCCAGGACCCUGAAUUUCUGUUCCCUCUUUCCCUUUCCCUUUCCCUUUCCCUUUCCCUUUCCUUCAAAAAUUCCAGGUAUUGGGAAACACAUAAAUAGCCAGGACACAGAGGAGCUAACUAAAAAAAUAAACUUUUAUUUGAAUAAAA